rnacentral:rRNA from 1 species
UUAUGGCUCAGAACGAACGCUGGUGGCGUGUCUUAUACAUGCAAGUCGAGCGAGGCAGCAAUGCCGAGCGGCGAACGGGUGAGUAACGCGUAAGCAAUCUGCCCCAUAUCAGGAAAUACCCGUGCCAACGCGCGGUUAAUGUCCAGGAGAGUGGCUCCUUGCAUGAGGAGUUGACUAGAGAUUUAUCGGUAUGGGAUGAGCUUGCGUCCGAUUAGCUAGUUGGCGGGGCAACGGCCCACCAAGGCGACGAUCGGUAGCCGGCCUGAGAGGGUGAUCGGCCACAUUGGGACUGAGAUACGGCCCAGACUCCUACGGGAGGCAGCAGUAGGGAAUAUUGCACAAUGGGGGAAACCCUGAUGCAGCAACGCCACGUGUGGGAAGAAGCAUUUCGGUGUGUAAACCACUGUCAUGAGGGAAUAAGGCCCUUAUCCGUAAGGGACUUGAAUGUACCUUGAGAGGAAGCACCGGCAAACUUCGUGCCAGCAGCGGC